AGACGGCCGAGUGGGAACAAGAAACAGGAAAAGGAGAAGAGGAUCGAGGAUUCAGGAUCGAGGAUGUGGAGGCUCCGGAGAGACCGUCCAAAGAAGAACGAGCAGAAGGAACGUUGUCGAACACCAAACAACACACGGACCUCAAACGGCGGGGAAAAAUAAAGCCAACUAGAAAAAGAGGUUUGCCUUUAUAACAAGGUUUAUUGAUGGGAAGGGGAUUCUACGACGUGGCUGCUUCGAAAUUCGAACCCACUGUAGUAGUUUAGUGACAAUCUCAAAUGUUGUCAGAGAUUUUCCGUUGAUUGCUAUUUGUCUUGACGCACAUUUUGGUCCCAUCUAUGUUACAAGAAAUGACGAGUUUUGUGGAAAUUGUACUUCACCGAUAAAUGUCUUGCCUCGGAGAGGGCGUAUUUACUCCGGAGCAGGAAUUUCACGCUGAAGCUGUCAUCCCGGAGCCCGGUUUGCCCAUCUCAAUCGCGCAGAUGAAGAUGGAGAUUAAUAGAACGGCUGCCUCCAAUUCUCUCAUACUUUCGAGUAACAUAUAAUUGCACAAAAGGAAUACUCCCACUUCCGAAAAAAAUCCCUGGGCUUAAGAGAAACGUAUUCUAAGCCCUCGACUUUUGAGGUAAAGCAGUUCAAGACCACUUUAAAACGACUGGGGACUUUGAUUACUUGUCCGAUGGCCCCGAAAGAUUCCAUUCCAGCAGUUGGCUCUGAAAAGACAA